rnacentral:tRNA from 1 species
AAGAGGUGUAUAAACUAUUAGGACUGCUAACUCUG